AGCGUACACGGUGGAUGCCCUGGCAGUCAGAGGCGAUGAAGGACGUGCUAAUCUGCGAAAAGCGUCGGUAAGGUGAUAUGAACCGUUACAGCCGGCGAUGUCCGAAUGGGGAAACCCAGUGCAAUUCGUUGCACUAUCGUUAACUGAAUACAUAGGUUAACGAGGCGAACCGGGGGAACUGAAACAUCUAAGUACCCCGAGGAAAAGAAAUCAACCGAGAUUCCCCCAGUAGCGGCGAGCGAACGGGGAGCAGCCCGGAGUCUGAAUCAGCUUGUGUGUUAGUGGAAGCGUCUGGAAAGUCGCAGGGUACAGGGUGAUACUCCCGUACACUAAAACACACAGGUUGUGAACUCGAAGAGUAGGGCGGGACACGUGGUAUCCUGUCUGAAUAUGGGGGGACCAUCCUCCAAGGCUAAAUACUCCUGACUGACCGAUAGUGAACCAGUACCGUGAGGGAAAGGCGAAAAGAACCCCGGCGAGGGGAGUGAAAAAGAACCUGAAACCGUGUACGUACAAGCAGUAGGAGCCCACUAGUUGGGUGACUGCGUACCUUUUGUAUAAUGGGUCAGCGACUUAUAUUCUGUAGCAAGGUUAACCGAAUAGGGGAGCCGCAGGGAAACCGAGUCUUAACUGGGCGUUAAGUUGCAGGGUAUAGACCCGAAACCCGGUGAUCUAGCCAUGGGCAGGUUGAAGGUUGGGUAACACUAACUGGAGGACCGAACCGACUAAUGUUGAAAAAUUAGCGGAUGACUUGUGGCUGGGGGUGAAAGGCCAAUCAAACCGGGAGAUAGCUGGUUCUCCCCGAAAGCUAUUUAGGUAGCGCCUCGUGAAUUCAUCUUCGGGGGUAGAGCACUGUUUCGGCUAGGGGGUCAUCCCGACUUACCAACCCGAUGCAAACUACGAAUACCGAAGAAUGUUAUCACGGGAGACACACGGCGGGUGCUAACGUCCGUCGUGAAGAGGGAAACAACCCAGACCGCCAGCUAAGGUCCCAAAGUCAUGGUUAAGUGGGAAACGAUGUGGGAAGGCCCAGACAGCCAGGAUGUUGGCUUAGAAGCAGCCAUCAUUUAAAGAAAGCGUAAUAGCUCACUGGUCGAGUCGGCCUGCGCGGAAGAUGUAACGGGGCUAAACCAUGCACCGAAGCUGCGGCAGCGACACUAUGUGUUGUUGGGUAGGGGAGCGUUCUGUAAGCCGUUGAAGGUGGCCUGUGAGGGUUGCUGGAGGUAUCAGAAGUGCGAAUGCUGACAUAAGUAACGAUAAUGCGGGUGAAAAACCCGCACGCCGGAAGACCAAGGGUUCCUGUCCAACGUUAAUCGGGGCAGGGUGAGUCGACCCCUAAGGCGAGGCCGAAAGGCGUAGUCGAUGGGAAACAGGUUAAUAUUCCUGUACUUGGUGUUACUGCGAAGGGGGGACGGAGAAGGCUAUGUUGGCCGGGCGACGGUUGUCCCGGUUUAAGCAUGUAGGCGGAUGUUCCAGGUAAAUCCGGAACGUCACUAACGCUGAGGUGUGAUGACGAGGCACUACGGUGCUGAAGUGACAAAUGCCCUGCUUCCAGGAAAAGCCUCUAAGCAUCAGGUAACAUCAAAUCGUACCCCAAACCGACACAGGUGGUCAGGUAGAGAAUACCAAGGCGCUUGAGAGAACUCGGGUGAAGGAACUAGGCAAAAUGGUGCCGUAACUUCGGGAGAAGGCACGCUGAUGGUAGGUGAAGUGACUUGCUCAUGGAGCUGAAAUCAGUCGAAGAUACCAGCUGGCUGCAACUGUUUAUUAAAAACACAGCACUGUGCAAACACGAAAGUGGACGUAUACGGUGUGACGCCUGCCCGGUGCCGGAAGGUUAAUUGAUGGGGUUAUCCUCGCGGAGAAGCUCUUGAUCGAAGCCCCGGUAAACGGCGGCCGUAACUAUAACGGUCCUAAGGUAGCGAAAUUCCUUGUCGGGUAAGUUCCGACCUGCACGAAUGGCGUAAUGAUGGCCAGGCUGUCUCCACCCGAGACUCAGUGAAAUUGAACUCGCUGUGAAGAUGCAGUGUACCCGCGGCAAGACGGAAAGACCCCGUGAACCUUUACUAUAGCUUGACACUGAACACUGGUCCUUGAUGUGUAGGAUAGGUGGGAGGCUUUGAAGUGUGGACGCCAGUCUGCAUGGAGCCAUCCUUGAAAUACCACCCUUUAAUGGCUGGUGUUCUAACGUGGGCCCGUGAUCCGGGUUGCGGACAGUGUCUGGUGGGUAGUUUGACUGGGGCGGUCUCCUCCUAAAGAGUAACGGAGGAGCACGAAGGUCAGCUAAUCCUGGUCGGACAUCAGGAGGUUAGUGCAAUGGCAUAAGCUGGCUUGACUGCGAGCGUGACGGCGCGAGCAGGUGCGAAAGCAGGUCAUAGUGAUCCGGUGGUUCUGAAUGGAAGGGCCAUCGCUCAACGGAUAAAAGGUACUCCGGGGAUAACAGGCUGAUACCGCCCAAGAGUUCAUAUCGACGGCGGUGUUUGGCACCUCGAUGUCGGCUCAUCACAUCCUGGGGCUGAAGUAGGUCCCAAGGGUAUGGCUGUUCGCCAUUUAAAGUGGUACGCGAGCUGGGUUUAGAACGUCGUGAGACAGUUCGGUCCCUAUCUGCCGUGGGCGCUGGAGAAUUGAGGGGGGCUGCUCCUAGUACGAGAGGACCGGAGUGGACGCAUCACUGGUGUUCGGGUUGUCAUGCCAAUGGCAUUGCCCGGUAGCUAAAUGCGGAAGAGAUAAGUGCUGAAAGCAUCUAAGCACGAAACUUGCCCCGAGAUGAGUUCUCCCUGACUCCUUGA
rnacentral:rRNA from 1 species